CCUGCCUUUCCGUCGGUGGUGACUGAAUAAGCUCGGUUGCAGGUAAAAAAAGCAAGAGCUAAGAAAUAGAGAUCCAGCUCCAAGAUCCACACUCGGCCUGGUGAGCACUAGAAAAUGGAAUGCCGUGUGUGGCAGGGGCCCUCGUACAACGUAAUGUAAUAAAUUGGCCGUCAUUGUGUGCCGGUGGCGUUGGCCGGCACAUGCACCUACAGCACUGAAGUUUGGAUUUUUUUUUGUACAUCAUGGCACUUUUAUCUAUCCUAAUAACGUGGAAUAUGGGUAACCCAAUUAGAAAUACAGUUUAUGUAUCCUCAAAUAUCUAUGUAACUUUACGACAUGUGAGCAAAAUAGGAUACAUAAAUCAACUAAAUCAUUAUAUGCUGAAUUAUAUAUAUAUAUAUAUAUAUAUAUUCUUAUUUCUUACCA
rnacentral:lncRNA from 1 species